rnacentral:rRNA from 1 species
GGCGAUACCCGAAUGGGGAAACCCAGUGUGACUCGUCACACUAUCAUUAACUGAAUCCAUAGGUUAAUGAGGCGAACCGGGGGAACUGAAACAUCUAAGUACCCCGAGGAAAAGAAAUCAACCGAGAUUCCCCCAGUAGCGGCGAGCGAACGGGGAGGAGCCCAGAGCCUGAAUCAGCAUGUGUGUUAGUGGAAGCGUCUGGAAAGGCGCGCGAUACAGGGUGACAGCCCCGUACACAAAAGCGCAUGUGCUGUGAGCUCGAUGAGUAGGGCGGGACACGUGGUAUCCUGUCUGAAUAUGGGGGGACCAUCCUCCAAGGCUAAAUACUCCUGACUGACCGAUAGUGAACCAGUACCGUGAGGGAAAGGCGAAAAGAACCCCGGCGAGGGGAGUGAAAAAGAACCUGAAACCGU